CGACAAAAGAGAUAGUUAAUACAAAUCUUGACACAAAAUCAUACAAAUGUAUUAAUACACAUAUUAAUCCUUCAAAGAAACAAACAAAACAAAUAUGGAAUACAUAAUACAUCCAUGGUUCAAAAUAAUUCCCUAUAAAUUUUAAGCAAACUAUAGUGUAAACUGAUAUACUUCAUUUCUCCAAUUCGUGAUCUAAGUCUUUUUACCUGUAAAAUAUUUGAAUAACGUUGAAUGAGAUUACAUCUCAGUGGGUCCAAAGGAAUGAAACUAAAUCAAUUAACAUUUUAAUUCAGAGCUAUAUUUAUCUUUUAAGUUUCUCUUCCAUGUAUAUAUAUAGUUUUAACUCUUUCUAAAUAUUCAAAUCAUUAUACGUGAGUAAUCUAAUGACUUAAACUCUACCUAACAAGCAUGUCAUAAAGACUACAUUAGUUUUACUAAUGUCCUCUUCUUGUUAGUAAUUUUAUUUUGGUAAGAUUAGACAUAAUUACGUUCGUAAGUGGUGCCCCACUUACCAUCGCUUACCCUUCGCUUCCGUCGUAUAUAGACAGAUAAUUCAUCUAGUUAGGAUAAAUCAUAUACUUCUCACCUUAAUCAAAUAUAUAGUAAUUAUAUAUAAUAAUCCACACACACACACACACACAUAUAACUUCAUCUAAAAAAGAAAAUAUAUUAAAGACUACCACACACUCAACCUUGAAAAUUAUUAUGAUAACAUAAACUAUUAAGUCAAUUAUAUCAUACUAAUCACAUAAUGUAAAAUAAAGUUCAAGAGAACAUGUUUAAGAUAUAUUUUUCCCAUAACAGCCCCAAAUUUAUGUUAUAACAACUCAAAACUGGGUUUAACUACAUAGUCAACUGACAUGAACUUAUAAGCAUCAGAAUUUAGUGAAUGAGUACUAUUUGGAAAGCUUAUGAUAUAUACUCUAUAGAUAAAAUUUUAUUUUAUUUUUAUUAAGCCCCUAAUUCUUGCAGUUUGUCAAAAUAAAACACAAUGACAGAAAACAAACAAAACAUCAAUUUUGGUCUAACUUGUAACCCAUUUUUCAGUAUCAAUACUCAAUCAAACAUCACAAAUUUUGUACUCGAUUUGAAGGUAAUUGAGUCUAGUUUCCAGAAAACUAAAAAUCAUUCAAAACGAAUGUCUAAAAGAAAAUAUUAUGACCAAAACAUCACUCAUAUGUCCUGCGAAAAUUCAAGUUAAUAACAUUCCUUCAAUCACACUAAUUUCCUAACAAUUCUUUGCAACAAUAAUGCUACAAAUUAUGAGUAAAUCAGUAAUGAACACAUCAAAACAGAAUCACAAUUUUCAAUUUACUCAAUUUAAUUGGUCACAAAGGAGAAACUCAAAAUCUUUAAUUUCAAACCCAUAAAAAUAGCAUAAUUUCAUGUUAACAAGGAAACUCAAUACUACAAUAAUCUACUAUCAAUUUCACUCAUAGAACUUCACAUGCAUAAUUUUAACCAUCAUUUCAAAAUCUCUAAAUCCAACCAAGAAUAAAUUAAAAAAAAAAAAAAAAUCAUUUUCUUCAUUUCAAUUUUCAAACCCUUAAACCCCAAAUCUCUAAUCCAUGGAACAUAUUAACUCAUACAUGCAUGAAUGGGAAAAUAGAAAAAGGAAACUCACCUCUUGACUUCCAAAAGAAUGGAGAAGAUAAUGGUACUCUCAAAUCUUUCUACCUUGACUUCUAGCAAGAAUUGCAUUUUUCCUUUCUCUUUUCUUGUUCUGUUAAAGUUUUUGUUGUUGUUGUUUUUUUUUUUUCCUUUCUUUCUCCUUCUCUCCUUUCUUCUUCUCUAUCUUACUAUUUUUUUCUCUUUCUG
rnacentral:lncRNA from 1 species